AAGAGAUAUGAUGAUGUUUAUCCAUCUAUUCUGCUGUUAAAUGAUGAUUACUAACAUGCACUACCAUCUGAUCUCUU
rnacentral:snoRNA from 1 species